rnacentral:rRNA from 1 species
AUUGAACGCUGGCGGCAGGCUUAACACAUGCAAGUCGAGCGGGGGAAGGUAGCUUGCUACCGGACCUAGCGGCGGACGGGUGAGUAAUGCUUAGGAAUCUGCCUAUUAGUGGGGGACAACAUCUCGAAAGGGCUGCUAAUACCGCAUACGUCCUACGGGAGACAGCAGGGGAUCUUCGGACCUUGCGCUAAUAGAUGAGCCUAAGUCGGAUUAGCUAGUUGGUGGGGUAAAGGCCUACCAAGGCGACGAUCUGUAGCGGGUCUGAGAGGAUGAUCCGCCACACUGGGACUGAGACACGGCCCAGACUCCUACGGGGGGCAGCAGUGGGGAAUAUUGGACAAUGGGGGGAACCCUGAUCCAGCCAUGCCGCGUGUGUGAAGAAGGCCUUAUGGUUGUAAAGCACUUUAAGCGAGGAGGAGGCUACUCUAGUUAAUACCUAGGGAUAGUGGACGUUACUCACAGAAUAAGCACCGGCUAACUCUGUGCCAGCAGCCGCGGUAA